rnacentral:rRNA from 1 species
UAUCUCUGUAGAGUCUGCAUAUCAAUAAGCGGAGGAAAAGAAACUAACUAGGAUUCCCUCAGUAACGGCGAGUGAAGCGGGAAGAGCUCAAAUUUGAAGUCUUCAAGGUUUUACCUUGACGAAUUGUAGUUUAAAGAAGUGUUUUCUGUUGGAUGUUUUGGUAAAAGUUCUUUGGAAUAGGACAUCAUAGAGGGUGAGAAUCCCGUAUUUGACCAUUACUUUCCAACUUUGUGAUACACUUUCAAAGAGUCGGAUUGUUUGGGAAUGCAGUCCAAAAUGGGUGGUAAAUUUCAUCUAAAGCUAAAUAUUGGCGAGAGACCGAUAGCGAACAAGUACCGUGAGGGAAAGAUGAAAAGAACUUUGAAAAGAGAGUUAAACAGUACGUGAAAUUGUCAAAAGGGAAGCGUUUGACACCAGUGUUGUUUUCUCGAAAAUCAAUUAAAAAUGGCAGGAUUUUGUGUUGUAUUGACUUUAUCAGCUUUCUGCACUUUUUUCCUGUCUUUUUUAAUGCACUUUUCGUUUAACAAGUCAACAUCAAUUUCUUUUGUUGUAAAAGGGUCAUUGGAAGGUGGCUUUCUUUUCGGAGAAAGUGUUUAUAGCCUUUGACUUCUGCAAUCGGAGAGAUUGAGGUCUGCAGCGUAGAUCCUUCGGGGUUAGAUACGUAGAUGCUAAGUUAUAGUUUUUUAUAGACAACUUGUUGACUAUAAUUAAUCAUGUAGCUUACUCGUUUGCGCUAUUUUACCUACGCUUAGGAUGUUGAUCUCUCACAGUCGAGC